CUCAUAAACACUAUAAAGAAAAAACUGAAGGUGGUUUAAAAUAAAAUUCUAUUUGUCAUGCACUUUAACCAUUUACAGAUCUUAAACAAUGAGGUUGAUCAUCUUACACUAUCCAAGGAUCCAAGUUGUACAACUCCAUGUGGAGCAACAGCAGCAACAACAAUGGUCUUAAUCCCAGCAGAAAAUUGAGCUUGCCACCCAUCACAGUGUUCAGGCGCCAAGUUGGUGAUAGCUGCAACUUUGUUUGCUGAAAGCCAUAGAUGUUUUCCAGUAAUUGCAACCUGCCCAACAAUACCUUCUCCGAGAGAAUAAACAUGAUAGGACAUCUUUGCCACAGCUACUCCAAGAUGAUUGUUGGAAUAAUGUCCAUCAUAAAGGUUGCCUGCCGUACUAUCAGGUGAUUUUUUCCCUGGAAACCCAUCGUUAUCAUAGUAAGCGUCCUCCCAAGUCAACAUCAUUCGAGCUCGAUGUGUGAGCUUCCAGAACACAGCAUACUUCCAAGGAGUAUUGCAACAAAGGCUCCUCAGUGCUUGUUGCAGUUGGCUUGCCAUAUUCUUUCCUUAGUCACCAAAAAAUUUAACACACAAAUCCCCA
rnacentral:misc_RNA from 1 species